GCCAGGCAUGGUAGUGCAUGCCUGUAAUCCUAGCUACUCGGGAGGCUGAGGUGGGAGGAUCACCUGAGCCCAGGAGGUGGAGGUUGCAGUGAGCCGAGAUUGGGCCACUGCACUCCAGCCUGGGCAACAGAGCGAGACCCUGUCUUAA
rnacentral:SRP_RNA from 1 species